AGCAGUCGCCGCGGUAAUACGAAGGGUGCAAGCGUUAAUCGGAAUUACUGGGCGUAAAGCGUGCGUAGGCGGUGGGUUAAGUCUGCUGUGAAAUCCCCGGGCUCAACCUGGGAAUGGCAGUGGAUACUGGCUCGCUAGAGUGUGUCAGAGGAUGGUGGAAUUCCUGGUGUAGCGGUGAAAUGCGUAGAGAUCGGGAGGAACAUCAGUGGCGAAGGCGGCCAUCUGGGACAACACUGACGCUGAGGCACGAAAGCGUGGGGAGCAAACAGGAUUAGAUACCCCUGUAGUCCCUGUCUCUUAUAC
rnacentral:rRNA from 1 species